rnacentral:rRNA from 1 species
UACAUGGGGUGCAAACGUUGCUCGGAAUCAUUGGGCGUAAAGCGCGCGUAGGCGGUUAUUUAAGUUGGAUGUGAAAGCCCUCGGCUUAACUGAGGAAGUGCAUCCAAAACUGAAUAGCUAGAGUACGAAAGAGGGUCGCGGAAUUCCCGGUGUAGAGGUGAAAUUCGUAGAUAUCGGGAGGAACACCGGUGGCGAAGGCGGCGACCUGGGUUGACAUUGACGCUGAGGCGCGAAAGCGUGGGGAGCAAACAGG